UCUGAGCCGAUGCAGCAGCGGUGAAGGCUUUGCUUGUGCUUGUGUGCAUGCAGGUCCAGAAGGGCAUGUUCCUUGACAGUGCUGCCAUGGACGUCUUGUUGGAUCGGCAGGGAAGAGGUUGGAAUCUGUUGCUUGUGUGUGUGUGUAUGCAGUCACCUGGAAUAUGUUUCUUGUGUGCACGAGGUUAUAAAAAUGAAGAAAUUGUGCAUAAUCCCUUCAAGCUAUCAUGUUUCCUAAAAACUUGACUCAAUUGUUUCUGAGUUUUAGUGGCAUUUAACCUGACAUUUUCUCUGUAUGAAGUCAUCAUGUGGUCAUUAACAAUCAUGCAGAUGCAACAAGUCUUGUUUAGUACAGCGUGGCAUAUUGUUGCAUUCAAGUGUAAUGUCAAUCACUGUGCUCUAUUGUCAUUUUUGUUGUGUUCUUCCUAUGCACAUGGAUGCAUCAGCACAUCAUAUCAUAUUGUGGUAAGUCACUUUUUUGUAUUGAAAGCUAGUAAUUGUGCACUGGUGAACAUGAUAUUGCCUCCAAUUCCGUUUUUAUCAUCUAAAUGUCUAAAUGAUAUGCCUUACUGGUGGCAGGUCAAGCCAGAGGUGAUGCACAUCCAUAGAGUCAUGGUCCAAACCGUACACGGCACUCACAUGCCAUGACCAUCGUCAUCUUGUCGGUCAAGCGGAAGUAGUGGCUAUUGCUCCACCACAGAAGCAAAUGUGUGAGGUCUUAUUACCCUUGCUGUAUUCUGAAACCUCCCACGUGUAAUUAUUAACAUUUUUUUGUUAGUCCAGUGUUUGAGUUAGUAAGGUACUUCGAUACGUUCAAUGCUGUGCAAACAUACUCUAGUGAUGCUAUUGGAACAUAUUGGGCAUCUUCUCAUGCAUGACUGAACUGCUGUAGCUAAUCAUGAAAUUUAGUCGGGUUUGUUUUUUGGGUACACUUUUAGGUGGAUCUGAGUUUUCACCAUAACAACCUGUAUUUGAUUCUUAAGGUUUCACUGUCAGAAUUCAAAGUAGUAUAAGAAACCUACAGUUAUUGCCAUCUUAUGGAAACAACCUAACUGAUUCAUGUAUGUGACCUAGAUAUCAUUUUAUUCUAACCAGAUGGAAAUUGAAAAUCUUAGCCGAUUGAGCAUUUCGACCAACUACGAUACUUGGAGGUACUAUAACCUGAAGAAGUGCCUUGAACUAUAAUCUGAAAAUGACCAAUAUUCCGCUGAUGGUGUUGAACGAUUAAAUGCUUGUAAACCAUCUAAAAUUGUAAUCUCAUUUGCAUUGAUAUCAAUUUCAUGAUUGCUUAAACCCUCUGUAAGUACUAUGUCUGAAAAGUAUAGGUUAUGUUUUACAAGCAAUAACAUCGGUAACUACAGGUUGAACCCUCUAAUUUAUGUCAGCUACAGGAUGAUCAACCAAAAGGAAACAGAGCCCCCUGAUCUGUGUCGUGAAGAUGAACCUGAUUGACCAAAGAUUCGCCUGGGCGCACCAAUGAGGCGAGCUGAAAACACCUUCUACUUACUUGCAGGAAAGAAGUGUUCCUGCGCAGGGAUGAAUGAUGAACCUGAUUGGCCAAAUUGAUGAGUAGUACUCCCUCUGUAAACUAAUAUAAGAGCGUUUAGAUCACUAAAAUAGUAAUCUAAACACUCUUAUAUUAGUUUACGGAGGGUGUAUAAGAAACCUUCAGGUAAACCUUGACAGCCACUAACAAACUAUUUGAUGAACACGGCAAUGAUUCAAAAGAAAACAGCUGACCUGUGCCUCCCGAUCUGCAGCAAACGAAGCGUUUGUGGCAGGGAUCGCUGGGGAGUUUUAACCAUCGCCGAGAAUCAAGGCUUGCAACACCGCCCAGGGGACACGGAGAAUCAAGGCUCGCCGCCCCACUGAGAAGAUUUUUAACGGACACGGAGAAUCAAGGCUCGCCGCCCCACUGAGGAGAAGAUUUCUAACGAUAUGGAAAGUUUGAUGCGCUGGCAGGAAAAGAAUCAGGCCUCCAUUAGAAAGAGUAUAUCCUAGAUCGCCCGUGCAAGCUAUUACAAGGGACUAGCAAACAUGCCCGUGCGUUGCAACGGGAAAGAAAAGCGCUUGUCCCUGACCUGAUAAGCACAACGUUCGUGCUUCACUAUGGAGAAAACACCAGUUGUCAUGAAUCAAGGUUGCCUUGGUUAGGCAAUUGUGUUGCGGGACACUCGAUGUCAAAAACGGUGGUCAAUUGACGUGUUGCGCUGACGCGUGAUCAGAUCGACGGGAUCAAGACCACGAUGGUAGCGUGAUGCGUGCCACACAUGUCAUUGAUUGUGGCGUCUCG
rnacentral:lncRNA from 1 species